GGAGGACGUCGGCGACCUCAGUGGAGGGGUUGGGGCCGCCAAUCGACGACCCUGACCCCUCCACCGAGGUCGCUGGUACCCACA
rnacentral:pre_miRNA from 1 species